AAAACAAAGAUUACAUGAAUUAGACAUUGAAAUAUAAGAUAGAAAACACCUAAAAUCGUUCAACAACUCAGAUUGAAAAGCCAAACAAUUGUAGAGAAUCUGUCCCCUUUGUUGCUUGCGGCAGAUUGUAUGGUGAUGCUUCUUGGCUUGUUUUGAUGAUGUAGAAUGGAAUUUGGGGGGUGUAGAGGCACGGCAAGGGUUGUAGGAUGAGUGUGGAUGAGUGGUGGAUGGAUGGAAAAUGGUGGAAAGCUCGGCAAGAAUGGUGGAGGGGUGGAAAAUGGUGGAAAGCUCGGCAAGAAUGGUGGAGGGGUGCGGCAGGUUGUAGAACUAGGUUUUCUGGAAUGUAGAAUGAAUAUGGCAGAUGGUAGUUCGGCCUAGGGGUUAAAACACAUAUAUAUAAGCACUACAAACCCUAGGGCAAACAGAUUAGGGCCUCUAAAACCCAAAUCCAUCAGAAAUUAGGUUAAAACAAUUAGAAUUUAAGUGGGAAAAGGGCCUAGGGUGCGGCUGGUUACUAGGGUAAAGCAAUGGGCCUUCUAGAAUGCCUUGCAAGGCAAGGAAAUCAGAUUUCUAAAGCCCUAGGUGCGGCAAGGGUUAGGGGGGAAAUGCUAGGUCAUCUAAAAGCCCAAAGCCAAGAAUAGAAACUCUCG
rnacentral:lncRNA from 1 species